rnacentral:lncRNA from 1 species
CAGUGCUGGUUCCACUCCUAGCUGCCCUCCCUCCAAUCCCCGUCAACACAUGGAGGGAAUCCAUGCUUGAAUCCAAACUUGAGCUCCAUCUCAUCCACUUUGGAUCCCUCCCUAAUUAUCUCUCGACGCCGCCACUACUCCACCAUCGGUGUGAAAUUAGGGUUGGGGUUCCUCUCGACGAGCUUCAACAGAUGGGUGUUGGGCUCCUGUGGGUUGUCCC